AACCGCGGUUAGACGAGAGGCCCCAGUUGAUUAACCCACGGCGUAAAGGGUGGUUAUGGGUAAUUAAUAAUAAAGCCGAAGGACCCCUUGGCUGUCAUACGCUCCUGGGGGCCCGAAGCCCACACGCGAAAGUAGCUUUAGUAAAUAACCUGAACCCACGAAAGCUAAGAAA
rnacentral:rRNA from 1 species